rnacentral:tRNA from 1 species
GGUCCCAUAGCUCAGUUGGUUAGAGCGUCGUACUAAUAUAAUUCCUGAUUAUAUUUAGUCCAUGCGAAGGCCGGCGGUUCGAGCCCGCCUGGGACCA